rnacentral:lncRNA from 1 species
UUGUGGGAUAAAAAAUUGAUUUGAAGUCUAAGUUGUUAACGGAUACGAUAUGGGAAGGUUGAGCUGCUGUUUAUCUGUUCCUAGAGAUGCUAAAAUUCUGGAGAAUUUUAUCUUUAAAAAUCUUUAAAAUGUUGCAUGAUGAGUUCCUGUAUGAUGAGAGUUUAAAUUCCUACCACAGCCAUAUAUACAUGCUUGCUAGACUUUGAGCCACACAUUUAAUAUUUACUACUUAUGAGCAUUGAGUGUGGUCAAGCUGUAUAGACCCUUAGGAGCUUGUCAUGUGGUUAAAUCAAGAUUUCACUUGCACGUUCACUCAUAUAUGCUACUUCUACUCCGGAAGUACCAUCCACAUAUAUCCACUCAUUCCAUCUCCAGAAUCACCCAAAAAUAUUCUACUCCUAAUCCGGGAGAGAAUUGCCAAAAAUAUUCCUGUUUUUCCCUUGUGAAAUAAAUGCUCAAGUUAUCUUGUUACUACCACUUGCUAUAUUAUCUCAAGAGAUGAGUGCUCUAAAAAAAUAAUAAUAAUAAUACGAGGAUAUAAAAAGGAGCAAGUGCUCGGAACCUCGAAAGAAAGAAAAAGUGAGACGAGAGGUAAAAAUGGACAAGUGUCCGACAGUAGAAUUAGGGGAACAAGAUACCCACCUGAGAGAAAAGAAAAGAAAAAGAAGAGCAUCUCAUUCUCCUCAUAAAGUUUCAAAAGCAAGGAAGGUAUGUAUUCCCUCAAAGAGCAAAGUAGAAUUAGACUUCCACCACCAUUGUUAUCACCAUCAUCACCAUACACCAUUCAUUCGCCACACAUGCACAUCUUGAUUUGACUUAUUGAUUUGUUUCUUUGGAUCCAUGGUUUGACUAUACAAUAAAUGUCUUGUAAGUAUGUAUACUUUAUCUCCCACCUAUGAGCUCCAGAUAUAAAAGCCUUAUUAGAGUAGGGUGAGAGAGAAGACAAUGUCAUUAUGCUUUAUACCAUAAAUACUACAUAUCUUGAGAGAAGGCAUAUACCAUCACUGCCUUGGUAAGGAUCCAGAAAUACCACAAAAGAGAGAUUUGAGAGAAUCAUACAAGGAAUCUCUGAGUUUUAUUUGAAAAUCUGCAAAAACCCCAGAGCUAUAGCUGAUCAAGAAUAAGAGACAUGGCACUUGGCUAGACUGUUCUAUCUUUUAACCACUCAAGACAGAAGUGAUGGUUACAAGUCCCAUGGUGAAGGUAAAGUAAGUAAGUUUUAAGUCUUGACAGUUUACUCUAACUCAGAGAUGAGAUCUUAUUUAAAAAAGCAUGUGUACCGUCAAUUUUUAAAAAUAUUGCAACAACUUAUGAUCCAUAGCUGAGUCUAUCCUUGCUCAGGGACGAGCAAGAGGUAAGCUUGGGGGAGUUUGUUGACGCUCCU